rnacentral:sRNA from 1 species
UGACAAUGUACAUAGUGUUAGUGUGU